AGUUUAUUCAAUAGUGAGAUCGGUCAUCUGACGCGCUGGAAUGUACCUUUAGACAUUACAAAGAAAAAAGAUAUUUUAGAUCAUACAUAUAAUAUCAUCAUUCAAUUUUUGUUGAAUAAAUUUGAGGUGGACCUUUAUGUUAAACAUCACUAUGAUUAUAUCAAGUACGAGAUCGGGACCUGCUACAACGAUUAUCGACAUCGCUUACAUAGGCAAAGUCAGCGAGAAACAAAGUUAGUUGGAGUAAAUUACCCUUUAAUCAUCGCGCUGGCCCGAAAUCAUUUUUAUCCCAUCAUGAAAACAAGAAAAAGGAUGAUGGGACGUAUUUGAGCCCUUUCGAGUUGUUCUUCGCAACACACUGCCAUCCGACGAAAGGUUGGACCGAUGAAGCCGCUCAUCUUGCACAUGAAAAAAUGGUGGAGUUGGUGGAAAAAGCGAAGGAAGAAGAUAAAGAAUUAAGUGAGCAAGAUGCGAUGGAAACUGUGCUUGGAAAGUGAUCAUCGUACACGAAAGGGAUGGGGUACGGUCCAAAGCCACCAAGUCAAAAACAAAGCAGGAGGAUACUCACAAGAAUAUGUUCAUGCUUUGGAGGCUAGACUAGCAAAAAAUGAAGAGUUAUUGCAAACUCAACGCCACGAAACCCAGAGGUUGUUUGAAAUGCAACGUCAAGAAUAUGAAAGAAGUUUUGACAGUAUGGAAGAACUUUUUCGAAGAUUUACUAACGGAGGAGGAAGUUCAUCAUUGAACAAGGAUUGAAAACAUGAUCUUCUCUGUUGAUCGUGAUGCUUGAAGAUCUGAAAAAAAUAUGUAACGAUGAUCUAACGAGACAUGGAUAUGACACUUAAGAUMAACCAAGACGACUGGUUCCCGGCCGCGCUGUCAAAUCUCGCUCACGUARGGAAAACCUSUUCUCGUCUUAAGGCUAGGUUAACUCCCUCUCAGUUAGACAUGUUUAGUCAAACAUGUUUUGGUCCGAUUUUAGGGAUGAACGUUGUAUUUAACGGUYCGUUGCUCCAUCACCUGUUGCUUAGAGAGGUGGAGGAACCUAGAAACGACCUCAUUAGCUUUAACCUAUUCGGGAAUAGGGUCUCUUUUGGGAAGCGGGAGUUCGAYCUAAUAACCGGUCUUAGACACACCAUGAAUAGGSUAGACGAGGAUGUU